AUGGAUGGGUGGCAUGGACGGCUGGCAUGACAGGUGGCAUAGACAGGUGGCAUGAUGGGUGGCAUGAUGGGUGGCAUGGAUAGAAUGGAUGGGUGGCAUGGACAGCUGGCGUGGGUGGGUGGCAUGGACAGGUGGCAUGGUGGGUGGCAUGGACAUGGGUGGCAUGAUGGGUGGCAUAGACAGGUGGCAUGGAUGGGUGGCAUGGCAGGUGGCAUGGAUGGAAUGGAUGGGUGGAAUGGAUGGGUGGCAUGGCAGGUGGCAUGGACGGCUGGGAUGGGUGGGUGGCAUGGACAGGUGGCAUGAUGGGUGGCAUGGACAUGUGGCAUGAUGGGUGGCAUCUACAGGUGGCAUGGACAGGUGGCAUGAUGGGUGGCAUGAUGGGUGGCAUGAACUGCAUAAUAGAUGUAUAGUAGGAAAAUACUAUUAUGUGGUACUUAACAGCACCAUAAACAGUGUCGGUGUGUCCUCACACUGAAGGAGAACAGUCUUUUAUUCUAGCAUGAUGUGGUGUG
ensembl:lncRNA